GUGGGGAAUCUUCCGCAAUGGGCGAAAGCCUGACGGAGCAACGCCGCGUGAGUGAUGACGGCCUUCGGGUUGUAAAGCUCUGUUAUAUGGGACGAACGGGCAUGGGGCGAAUACCCUCAUGCAGUGACGGUACCGUAAGAGAAAGCCACGGCUAACUACGUGCCAGCAGCCGCGGUAAUACGUAGGUGGCAAGCGUUGUCCGGAAUUAUUGGGCGUAAAGGGCGUGUAGGCGGCCAGACAAGUCUGUCUUAAAAGUGCGGGGCUCAACCCCGUGAUGGGAUGGAAACUGUCGGGCUAGAGUGUCGGAGAGGAAAGCGGAAUUCCUAGUGUAGCGGUGAAAUGCGUAGAUAUUAGGAGGAACACCAGUGGCGAAAGCGGCUUUCUGGACGACAACUGACGCUGAGGCGCGAAAGCCAGGGGAGCAAACGGGAUUAGAAACCCGAGUAGUCC
rnacentral:rRNA from 1 species